GAGUAAUUUCAGAUGGCUGACAUCCAGAGGGAACUAGGGGACAGGAGAAGAAGAAGCUGGAGCAAGCUCAUGAUCCAGGGGAAGACUUCUCGUUAGGAAGUAAUUCCCAGAUUGAGAUGCAAAUGUUGAGAAGAGUCAACCAGACAGAAGAGGAGAUGAGUGUUCCGGCAGAGGAAGCUGUGAUGCUGAAACUUCAUAGGUGGCUGAAACUUGCAGUCUUCAGGUUGAGAAUUCCUGUCCCUCUGUGUCCAGCAGACAAGUGCUACCUGAAGGCCAUGACGAAUUGAGACAAAAUUCUAACACUGCUACGUUAUUGAGAGAAAGGAUGAGAAGGAGCCCAGAUCUGGAAUCAGCCAUUUUUCUAAGGAGCCCUGCUUUCUUU
rnacentral:lncRNA from 1 species